AUUGAACGCUGGCGGCAGGCUUAACACAUGCAAGUCGAACGAGUGGCGGACGGGUGAGUAAUGCUUGGGAAUCUAGCUCAUGGAGGGGGAUAACUACGGGAAACUGUAGCUAAUACCGCGUACCAUAGGAUGAGCCCAAGUGGGAUUAGGUAGUUGGUGAGGUAAAGGCUCACCAAUCCGACGAUCUCUAGCGGGUCUGAGAGGAUGACCGGCCACACUGGGACCGGGACACGGCCCGGACUCCUACGGGAGGCAGCAUUGGGGAAUAUUGCGAAAUGGGGGAAACCUGACGAAGCCAUGCCGCGUGAUUGAGGAAGGCCUUCGGGUUGUAAAGUUCUUUCGGUAGCGAGGCGUUAACUACAGAAGAAGCACCGGCUAACUCCGUGCCAGCAGCCGCGGUAAUAC
rnacentral:rRNA from 1 species